rnacentral:rRNA from 1 species
UGGGGGAUAUUGCACAAUGGGCGAAAGCCUGAUGCAGCGACGCCGCGUGGGGGAUGAAGGCUUUCGGGUUGUAAACCUCUUUCGCUAUCGAACAAGGCCCGCCUAGGGUGGGUUGAGGGUAGGUGGAGAAGAAGCGCCGGCUAACUACGUGCCAGCAGCCGCGGUAAAACGUAGGGCGCGAGCGUUGUCCGGAAUUAUUGGGCGUAAAGGGCUUGUAGGCGGCUUGUUGCGCCUGCUGUGAAAACGCGGGGCUUAACUUCGCGCGUGCAGUGGGUACGGGCAGGCUUGAGUGUGGUAGGGGUGACUGGAAUUCCAGGUGUAGCGGUGGAAUGCGCAGAUAUCUGGAGGAACACCGAUGGCGAAGGCAGGUCACUGGGCCAUUACUGACGCUGAGGAGCGAAAGCAUGGGUAGCGAACAGG